GCGCGCCGCAGACUGUGCUCAAAGCGGGCGCCAUCCGGGACCGGCGGUUGUCUGUGGCCGGAGGCUGAUCAGUGUUCUAGAACAGAUCAGACAUUUUGUAAUGAUGCCUGAAAUAAACACUAACCACCUCGACAAGCAACAGGUUCAACUCCUGGCAGAGAUGUGUAUCCUUAUUGAUGAAAAUGACAAUAAAAUUGGAGCUGAGACCAAGAAGAAUUGUCACCUGAACGAGAACAUUGAGAAAGGUGCUGCUUUGAAACAGUCUUUCUUGUAAAGCGAUUUGUGUAGGCAUUUCCGAUUUGCUGAGAAGAGCACUCUGUUCAAGGAAGUGCAGUCUUCAGUAAUACCGUAUUUUCUCGUUGGUUCCAGUUCGUUAAAUAGUGUGGUCAUUAGCAUCUGCUUUGCUGUCUUCCUGUUACAGCGAUUUCUCUUCACUUCAUGCCUGUUACUCGGCUUCUUCAGAGUUAUUCUGGAUUCAUAGAAGAGGGACUAGCCCUGACAUACAGCAGCAGCCUAGCCUCUAAUAUUUCUAGAGAGUGGAGAGAGGCGGGCACCAUGCAGGGAAGCAUGUGCCUUCACCACUUUCCGAGAACUGAAUGUCCUUGAUAGGGAACUUGACUGCCGGAAAGGGGCCACCAGCAUCACCAUUUCCUUCACUCGACGGCCAACUUCCUUGCCCAGUGCAGAGCUCUUCCUCACCAUAGCCAUGCAGAGACUAUGCAUGUGGAUAAACCAUGGGAAAAAGCAAAAGCAGCAGCAAGUUACUAAUGUUAUUCUGAACUGCAGGGAGAGAAUUUGGCAAAUAACUGGUACUUAAGGCUAAAAUAAUUGUUAUUUCUUUUGCUUUCAGGAUUAUUGCAUCGAGCUUUUAGUGUCUUCUUAUUCAACACCGAAAAUAAGCUUCUGCUACAGCAAAGAUCAGAUGCUAAGAUUACCUUUCCAGGUUGUUUUACGAAUACGUGUUGUAGUCAUCCAUUAAGCAAUCCAGCCGAGCUUGAGGAAAGUGACGCCCUUGGAGUGAGGCGAGCA
rnacentral:lncRNA from 1 species